rnacentral:piRNA from 1 species
UGGAUGACUUGGUUCUUGAAUCCCCCCC